CCCAGGCACUGGAGCCAGCACUAGGCAGGUGGAAGCAAGACCCAGAGCCACUUGGAUGAAUGAGAGACCAGAUGAAGGAAGAACCCUGCAAUAACAUUUAUAUUUUACUAUAUAUCUUCCUUCUAACAUUUGCCAAAGACACCUGUGACUGUGGGGAAUGGGGAAAGAAAAUCACCCAGACUUUCCUGUAAUUACUGGCUGUGAGAUUGCCAUCAGCAGUGCUCAGCCACUCUGGUGUAAGAAUAGAGAAGACCGCUUCAGCAUCGAGGACCAAAGUUGUGCGGGACACCUUUAGGCACCAUCUCAGAAUCCUCUCAGCCCUACUCUUGCUCCAGCCACCGCUGGAGGACCAUUCCACGCAGGCUUCAACUGGCUCUGCACCAGGAUCAUCAGGCAGUGCUUCCACUUAGGUGGAAAUGAUACUCCUCACCUCCUAAAAGGUUAAUUGGACCCUUACCACAUGACCCAGCAAUUCUACUCGUAGGUAACCUACCCAAGAGGAAUGAAAACAUACAUCUGUUCAAAGACUUGCACAUAAAUAUUCAUAGCAAGACUAUUAUAAAGGCCAAAAUGGGAAGCAAUUAAAUGUUCAUCAGCUGAUGAACGGAUAAGCAGUUGUGGUCCAUCCAUGGACUACUUCUCAGCAAUACAGAAGAGCAA
rnacentral:lncRNA from 1 species